rnacentral:rRNA from 1 species
AUUGAACGCUAGCGGGAUGCUUUACACAUGCAAGUCGAACGAGUGGCGGACGGGUGAGUAAUAUAUCGGAACGUGCCCAGUAGAGGGGGAAAACUACGCGACAGAGUGGCAAAUACCCAAAUAAUUGGAGCGGCGGAGUUGGGAUAAGCUAGGUGGUGGGGUAAAGGCCCACCAAGGCCACGAUCCGUAGCUGGUUUGAGAGGACGACCAGCCACACUGGGACUGAGACACGGCCCAGACUCCUACGGGAGGCAGCAGUGGGGAAUUUUGGCCAAUGGGUGAAACCCUGAUCCAGCCAUCCCGCGUGUAUGAGAAGGCCUUCGGGUUGUAAAGUACUUUUGGCAGAGAAGCGGUAUCUGCAGAAUAAGCACCGGCUAACUACGUGCCAGCAGCCGCGGUAAUUC